rnacentral:lncRNA from 1 species
UUUUUUUUUUUUUUAAUUUUUUGUAAAGACGGGAUCUUACUAUGUUCCCUAGGCUGAUCUUGACCUCCUGGGCUCAAGCAAUCCUCCCAGCUUAGCCUCCCAAAGUGCUGAGAUUUACAGGUUUGAGCCACGAAGCCCAGCCAGUGUAUCUUCACUUAAAGAUGACAAAAUUAAGGAUCAGAGUGGUUACGUAGCUUGCCCAUGGUCACAUCGCUAGCAAUGGCACAGGGAGGAGUUAAACCUGAUUCCACCUUAUUCCAAAAUCUGAGCUCUAACCAUUAUGCUCUACUGCACCCCUACUACUGAGCCUGCAUGGAUCACUGUGCCAGGGGAGGUUCCCACACAGACAGACAGGUUCAGGUGCAGACAGACAGGUAAACAGGUGGUUAUGAUCAGGUGCUGUUGUAGAGGUAUGACAACAUGCCACAUGCAUAGUGAGCUAUGUUCUAGAUCCCGGCCCAGUUAAUUGGACAGCUGGAUUUUCCAGGACGGCAAGAGGUAAGUGAGAUCUCCUGUACCCUCCUUUGCUCAGGGAGAGAGAAAUGUGGGAAUUGGAAAGAAGCUAUUUGGAGCUUGAGUCAAAUAAUUCAAUGCUUCAGACAGAACUGCACAGAGCUAAUAGAGUGACCCUUGUAAAGUAAAAAAGCUCAGAGGGAGUUGAGAGCCACAAUAAUGCCAGGAUUGCUGGCACUGAGAUAGGGUCUCUCUCUGUCACCUCCCUCCCAGGAGGAGGGAGGAAUGAGAAGUGGGUGAUAAGGGGUAAUAGAUUUCUUUGGGGGUGAUAAGAAUAUGCUGACAGUAGACAGCGAUGAUGGUUAUACAAUUCUGGAUACAUUUAAAAACACUAAACUGUACACUUCUAAAGGGUCAGUUUUACAGUAUGUGAAUUAUAUCUCGAUAAAAUAUGUUUUAAAAAGGAAGAAAGUGUAGGCUAUUUUUCCUUAAGAAGAAACACCUCAGGCUGGGCGCAGUGGCUCACACCUGUAAUCCCAGCACUUUGGGAGGCCAAGGAGGGCAGAUCACAAGGUCAAGAGAUCGAGACCAUCCUGGCCAAUAUGGUGAAACCCCCAUCUCUACUAAAAAUACAAAAAUUAGCCAGGCGUGGUAGCGCGCGCUUGUAGUCCCAGCUACUUGGGAGGCUGAGGCAGGAAAAUCGCUUGAACCCGGGAGGCGGAGGUUGCAGUGAGCCGAGAUCACACCGCUGCAGUCCAGCCUGGUGACAGAGCGAGACUCUGUCUAAAAAAAAGAAACACCUCCACCUCCUUUCCUCUGCACCCACCUGCCCUGUGAGGUGUGCUGGCCCCCAGGCAGGAUGGGCGCCCAUUAGGCACUGGAGGUAUAGCCCUGAGGCCCAACAAAAUGAUUAAUUUUCGUUUCUUUUACAAGCAGAGGAAUUUGAACAUAAUAAUAAUGAAUCUGUCAUAGUGAAUUCAUCUUGGCUUGUGUUUGUCUUUAUACCAAUGCAGUCAUGAAAUGUUAUUUUUAACAGUUUUCUAUGAAGGAAAGCGCCCACAGAAGCAAAAGUGCUGAGGCCUGUGGUAGUCAUAAGGCCCUAGGUAACCCAUGAGGAACUCAGUCUCAGGCUUCGCAC